CAGAGGGUGCGAGCGUUAAUCGGAAUUACUGGGCGUAAAGCGCGCGUAGGCGGCUUUUCAAGUCGGAUGUGGAAUCCCCGGGCUUAACCUGGGAACUGCAUUCGAGACUGUCUAGCUAGAGUAUGGGAGAGGGAAGUGGAAUUUCAGGUGUAGCGGUGAAAUGCGUAGAUAUCUGAAGGAACAUCAGUGGCGAAAGCGACUUCCUGGACCAAUACUGACGCUCAUGUGCGAAAGCGUGGGGAGCAAACAGGAUUAGAUACCCUGGUAGUCCACGCCAUAAACGAUGAGAACUGGAUGUCGGGAGGGUCUGCCUCUCGGUGUCGUGGCUAACGCGUUAAGUUCUCCGCCUGGGGAGUACGGCCGCAAGGUUG
rnacentral:rRNA from 1 species